CAGAUAUUUGAAAGCUCUAUUUAUGGGUAUAUUUAGGGGAACUGUGCAAAUCAUUCAUGAUGCAGCCUGAAUCUCAAAAACCUGGAUUCUGCUUUCAGAAGCAAACCUGGGAUCACUGGCCAGUUCAAUAAGGGUCUAACCAACUCUGUACAGACUUCUGUGGAAAGGAGGCCAGGUUGGAUUUUAACUUUGACUUUAAUCAGCUUAGAGGAGAGGGAAUCAUCAGGGGUGAGUGCUGCUGUGUGAUGUCUUGCUGUCCUGCAGGCUGCUUUGAUUUCUCACUGGCUGUCUAAAAGCAGUAUCAAGUUGCUGCUGAUUGUAAUCAGAGUUCAAGAUGCUGGAAGUGAUUUGAAAACUGUGUUGCAGCCCAUCAAAAUGCUGUUUUCUUAGUAAGAGCACAAAGAUGCUGAAUGCCUUGCGCUGUGCCAUGAAUGCAUACUGGCAGUUCCAGACGGUGCCAAGUCUCCUGGAGCAGUGUAAGGUAAGGAAACCUGUAUGGUGCUUUCUUGCCUACAUUACCAAAUAAGUCCUGGAACUUAUUUUUCACAGAGCUUUGUCUGGGUGUUACCCUGCAGACUGCUCAUUGGCAUAGGUCAAAAUGGUGCCUGAGAGACAGCCAACAGUGUCACGUUGCUGACUGUAGCCACCAGUGCUUGAGCCCCUGCACUUAGCCUGCUGUACUUUUCAGUAUGGACACAGCCUAUAGGACUACAGGAGAAUUCCUUGAGGCUGGAUUUGUGUUCUGUUUUGGGGUAACUUUGAGGUUUAUUAGGUAAAGCCAGAUGCUGGGUAUCUGUAUGGAAUACUGCAGUGGCAUGCAAAGAUGCUUGCCCGCUAGGAUGCUUGCCAGUA
rnacentral:lncRNA from 1 species